rnacentral:rRNA from 1 species
AUUGAACGCUGGCGGCAGGCCUAACACAUGCAAGUCGAACGAGUGGCGGACGGGUGAGUAAUGUCUGGGAAACUGCCUGAUGGAGGGGGAUAACUACUGGAAACGGUAGCUAAUACCGCAUACCAUCAGAUGUGCCCAGAUGGGAUUGGCUAGUUGGUGGGGUAACGGCUCACCAGGGCGCUGAUCCCUAGCUGGUCUGAGAGGAUGACCAGCCAAACUGGAACGGCGAAACGGUCCAGACGCCAACGGGAGGCAGCAGUGGGGAGUAUUGCACAAUGGGCGCAAGCCGGAUGCAGCCAUGCCGAGUGUAUGAAGAAGGCCUUCGGGUGGUAAAGUCCUUUCAGCGGGGAGGCGUUACCCGCAGAAGAAGCACCGGCUAACUCCGUGCCAGCAGCCGCGGUAAUAC